GGUCUUGUCUUUUAUGUAAGCGCACGCCACGCAUUAAAAGGAGGCAGAGCCUCUUUUCUCUAAGCUAUUACGGAAAAACGGUGGCUUUCUCUCAAUUUCUCCUUGGUUCUUCGUAUAAAAAAAAAAUGCUGAUCUACGAAAAUCUAGCCAUUCGAUUUUAGAUCCGACUUCGGUAACGUGAUCCUCAAAGCUCGAUCUACGUUUUGACUGAACGUUUUGAGAUUUUCUGUGGUUUGGAGUUGGUAGGAGCUUCCCGAACAUUUGGUCUUUGCUUGACAAAUUUUUGUAAUGCAUUGCAGGGUGGUGUCUAGGAGACCUAGUGCUUAAUAUCCGCGCAGCCAAGAUGAGUAUUCUACUCACUGAGAAGUAUUAUUUUCAUAAAUGAUGAAUUGCAAAAUAUAUAUUGUUUUACAAAUGUGAACCAACUGUAUGUUGAUUAUGAAUUGUUUUGGAUGAUUUGAGUACUUUGGAGUAUAUUGAAAUAUUGAUGAUGUUUUGAACUAUGAAUAUGAUUGGUGAGUUUAGAGUGAGUAUAAAGAUUUAAAUUAUGCAAAUUGUUAAAGAAAUAACAUGUUGAAUUGAUUAUGUUUUGUAAAGAAAGCAUGUGUUAAAGUCAUGAUUAUGAAAUUAAAUGUAUAGUAUUUGAGCACGAGCAUUGAGCAUGACACAAACAAGACCGGGGUUCAAUUCCCUUAGGCAUACGAUACGAACAAGACCGGGGUUCAAUUCCCUUAGGCAUACGAUAAGAAUAAGACCGGGGUUCAAUUCCCUUAGGCAAACGUACGACACGCAUGCACAGCAUUUGUUUCAUGAUAAUUGAAUUGUUUUCAUGUUUUUGAUAUAUAUGGUAGUUUUGCUAGACGUAUUAGUAUGCAUAAGAGUCUCAAUGGAAAAGAACUUAUGUAUAUUUAUAUCGGAUGGUUGCAUGUUUUAAAUGCCAUUAUUUUCUAAGUCUUACUAGAUCAAAGGUAAUAUAGUAGGUGAGGAUGUAUGUAGUUAUAUCCAACAAUGGAACUUCUACGUAUAAACUCAUCUGCGUAGUAUGGUUUAAAUGUUUUCUAUUAGUCAGUGUCUACUAUAUCAGCUAUGGGGGUUUUCAAACAAAAGCUUAUAAAAUUGGUGGCUGUUAUAGUAUACGCAUGACUAGAAAAGAUAGGUUGGUUCUUUGCGAAAACUCAGUGAAUAGUAUACCUCUGAGGUCUUAGUAUAUUCAUGUAUGCUAAGGCGGUGGGCUCAUAAUUCCACCUGUACGGAUGCGGCAAACCCCUGCAACCGUGCAGACAUUGAUGCUUUGGUUGCAGGUUCUACGGAUAUAGAUAAUGACUCGUCCACCUAGCGUAUGGGAUAUUAUGAUUGGAGCACAUCGCGACAGUCAUAUGUCACAGACUCAUGGGUAGUCUGCAUUUGAGUAUUUUAUUUAUGGCUCGUGUCAUACGUGACAUAUGUAUUUGUUGAGCCUGUAUUUAGUAUGUAAUUAGUGUAAUAUGUUUUAUAAGCUUUAAUCAGUUAGACAUGUAAAUGGCUCUUGUCGUCGUUAACAGUUAUAUAUUAGAUGUAUUUCCGCUA